UACAGAGGGGGCAAGCGUUGUUCGGAAUUACUGGGCGUAAAUGGCGCGUAGGCGGCCCGCUAAGUCGAACGUGAAAUCCCCGAGCUCAACUCGGGAACUGCGUCCGAUACUGGCGGGCUUGAAUCCGGGAGAGGGAUGCGGAAUUCCAGGUGUAGCGGUGAAAUGCGUAGAUAUCUGGAGGAACACCGGUGGCGAAGGCGGCAUCCUGGACCGGCAUUGACGCUGAGGCGCGAAAGCUAGGGGAGCAAACGGG
rnacentral:rRNA from 1 species